AGUGACGAUAGCCUAGGAGAUACACCUGUACCCAUGCCGAACACAGCAGUUAAGCCCUAGAACGCCGGAAGUAGUUGGGGGUUGCCCCCUGUGAGAUAUGGAAGUCGCUUAGCA
rnacentral:rRNA from 1 species